AGGGAGUUUGAUCCUGGCUCAGGAUGAACGCUGGCGGCGUGCCUAACACAUGCAAGUCGAACGAAGCGUCCCGCCCGAAGAGAAGGAGUGCUUGCACAAUUUUAAUUCAAUUGGGAUGACUUAGUGGCGGACGGGUGAGUAACGCGUGGGUAACCUGCCUUAUACAGGGGGAUAACAGUUAGAAAUGACUGCUAAUACCGCAUAAGCGCACAGAAUCGCAUGAUACAGUGUGAAAAGCCGAGACGGUAUAAGAUGGACCCGCGUCUGAUUAGCCAGUUGGCAGGGUAACGGCCUACCAAAGCGACGAUCAGUAGCCGGCCUGAGAGGGUGAACGGCCACAUUAGGACUGAGACACGGCCCAAACUCCUACGGGAGGCAGCAGUGGGGGAUAUUGCACAAUGGGGGAAACCCUGAUGCAGCGACGCCGCGUGAGCGAAGAAGUAUUUCGGUAUGUAAAGCUCUAUCAGCAGGGAAGAAAAUGACGGUACCUGACUAAGAAGCUCCGGCUAAAUACGUGCCAGCAGCCGCGGUAAUACGUAUGGAGCAAGCGUUAUCCGGAUUUACUGGGUGUAAAGGGAGCGUAGACGGUUUGCCAAGUCUGAUGUGAAAGGUGAGGGCCCAACCCUUAAACUGCAUUGGAAACUGGUAGACUAGAGUGUCGGAGAGGUAAGUGGAAUUCCUAGUGUAGCGGUGAAAUGCGUAAAUAUUAAGAGGAACACCAGCGGCGAAGGCGGCUUACUGGACGAUAACUGACGUUGAGGCUCGAAAGCGUGGGGAGCAAACAGGAUUAAAUACCCUGGUAGUCCCCU
rnacentral:rRNA from 1 species